GGGUUGUGAGGUUAAGCGACUAAGCGUACACGGUGGAUGCCCUGGCAGUCAGAGGCGAUGAAGGACGUGCUAAUCUGCGAUAAGCGUCGGUAAGGUGAUAUGAACCGUUAUAACCGGCGAUUUCCGAAUGGGGAAACCCAGUGUGAUUCGUCACACUAUCAUUAACUGAAUCCAUAGGUUAAUGAGG
rnacentral:rRNA from 1 species